GAUGAACGCUGGCGGCGUGCCUAAUACAUGCAAGUCGAGCGAACAGACGAGGAUCUUGCUCCUCUGACGUUAGCGGCGGACGGGUGAGUAACACGUGGAUAACCUACCUAUAAGACUGGGAUAACUUCGGGAAACCGGAGCUAAUACCGGAUAAUAUAUUGAACCGCAUGGUUCAAUAGUGAAAGACGGUUUUGCUGUCACUUAUAGAUGGAUCCACGCCGCAUUAGCUAGUUGGUAAGGUAACGGCUUACCAAGGCAACGAUGCGUAGCCGACCUGAGAGGGUGAUCGGGCACACUGGAACUGAGAAACGGUCCAGACUCCUACGGGAGGCAGCAGUAGGGAAUCUUCCGCAAUGGGCGAAAGCUUGACGGAGCAACGCCGCGUGAGUGAUGAAGGUCUUCGGAUCGUAAAACUCUGUUAUUAGGGAAGAACAAAUGUGUAAGUAACUAUGCACGUCUUGACGGUACCUAAUCAGAAAGCCACGGCUAACUACGUG
rnacentral:rRNA from 1 species